UGAUGUGGGCAGCAGGAGGGGGCAGCCAGCCCUGCCUAACCUCUGCAUUUGCACAGAGCAGGGGGUGAGUGCCUCUCCCUGAUGGCCAUCCCUUUCAAUGCUUUAAAUAGCUCUCCUUGACACAAGGCAAUGAAAAUGGCUCACUGACAAGUUUCUCCCAGCCCCGUGGCUAUGAGGUCUGUUCUCUAAAGAAAAAUAGAUGUGGAGACCAUUUGGCUUGAAACCCCUUAAGCAAGUGGAUAAAAUUAAUCAGCUGUCUUUUAACUCUGAUUCAUUUUUCCUUUAAUUCAAUUUACCAAAAUGUGUGGGCAGAGCCUGAGCCUCUGGGCAUAUUAACAUUAAUAAAACACAAUUAAGCAAAUGUUAUUAUGUUGCCAGCAACAAAAAGAAUGCCCCUGAGUGUACAACUUCCCCUCGCUGUAAUAAAUAUGCAGACAUGAGAACUGUGCCUUGCAACCCGUUGCUUAAACAGCUUUAAAAAACCAAAAUACCCACUUUGGUGAAUACAAAGAAGCCAUCGGGAGUAGACCAAAAGUGAACGCACCGAGGCCUUUUGCUGGAAGAGAAGGCAUGAGAGGAGCAGUGCGCCACAGUCAAAACUCCACCCUCAGCAAAAAGAACAGAGGAACAAAAGCAGCGAGGUGCAGCAAGGAUUGGAACAAGGCAGGUUGAGGUCAGAGAUUUCCCACUGGCUUCCAGCUGCCAGGAGAGCCACACUACCGAGCGGAGUGCCAAGGGAGAGGCUCCAAAGUUUGCUUAUGGAGGUUUGGGGAGGCUGGUCUGUGACAAGCCUUUGGUGUGCAGGUGAAUGGACUCUAUCUCAGCUAUCAGAUCUUCAGAAUCGUAGAACCAGGAAGGUUGAAGAAGAUAUCUAAGAUCAUCUGGUCCAGCCAUCAACCCAUCCCCACCGUGUCCACUAACCCACGUCCCUCAGUGCCGCAUUUACAAGUUUCUUGAACACCUCCAGGGACAGUGACUGCACCACCUAUCCAGGCAGCCUGUGCCAAUGCCUCACCACUCCUUCUGAGAAAAAAGUUUCCUAAUAUCCAACCCGAACCUCCCCUGACACUACUUGAGGCCAUUACCUCUUGUCCUAUUGCUAGUUACAAAGGAAAAGAGGUCAACCCCCACCUUGCCACAGCCUCCUUUCAGGCAGUUAGAGAGAGCAAUAAUGGCUCCCCUGAGCCUCCCUUUUCCCAGAAUGAACAAUCUCAGUUCCCUCAGCUGCUCCCCAUAAGACUUGUGCUCCAUACCCCUCACCAGUUUUGUUGCCCUUCUCUGGAUGUACUCCAGGGCCUUGAUGUCUUUCUUGUAGUGAGGGGCCCAAAACUGAACACAGCACUCGAGGUGCAGCCUCAUCAGUGCUGAGUACAGAGGGAAUCUUCCUCGGAGGAUGAUGGUUAACUGAAUUAUUUUACUGACAGCAGCUUUGAUUUGAUAAAACUCUGAUAAAAUUAAUACAGGGAAGUGCUUCAUUAAAAUCAGGAUAAGCUCCAUGGAAAGCCAGUGCAUCACACCUAGUCCACCUCUCCUGGUAGCUAACUGUGUUUCCAGGCUCUGAGCCAAGAAACCAGAGCCAUCUGCAUGCACUCAUUCUGAGAUGCUCCUGCCAGGGCUCCCAUGCUCCCUGCAAUCAGGUUCUCAGUGUGAAACCCAUCUCCAGCUUUCCUUGUCAUUGCAACGAAUGGAAGUCUGCGGCUGUGUGCAAAUACUGUCUCUGCAGCAGUACAAGGAGGGAUGCGAGGUGCCAGCACUCAUCCCACCACUGAGAGGAGGAUUCGGUUUCUGGCUGCUGUUGGUAAAAGACAGAUGUACAAUACACAAAGCAAGAGCUGACAUUCAGAAUGUGUGUCACCGUUUGCACUGGGCAGGUUGGUGUAACCGUUUGCAUGUCCGCCUUGCAGUGCAGUCCUGUUGGUGAGUGCAGGAAUCAUUUCCAGCUCUCAGCCCUGCCCUCUCAUCUCUCAUUCUCCUGUUUCCAGUUGCUGAACCCAUCCCCAGCCCGUGACUGUCAGCCUUGGUGCUUCCAUGUCUCUCCUGAAUCCACAGUGUGGAAAAACCAGGCCACAAACAUGUUGAGAAGACAGAUGGAUUUCAGCGAGGCUCAGGGGGCUGCAGAGAGGGUCUGGGUACAGGAAAUUGGCAAAGUAGAUGAGGAGAUGGGAGGAAUUUGUGAUGGUAAGGAAGCAGGAGUGGAGGAGGAAGGAUGGGGGAACAGGCUGGUGCAGCAACGGAGAGGUGCAGCUUAGUCUGAGAGCCAGGAAGGGAGGGCAGGAAAGCUCGCGUGGGCUUUGCUGUUGAGGCAAGGAUGAGGGAUGGGAUGGGCAUCUUAAUGCUUUGGGAAUGGAAAUGGAAGACUUCUUAAGUCUCAAAUGAUAUCCAGUGGGUGUUUCCUGAGCCAGGAGAUGUCCCACCUUGGCCACCACUAGGAAAAAGAGCAGACAGAGAUGGCAACUCUCUUCUUGUCAACAGCACAAAUUGUCAACAGCACAAAGGGAGUUUUUGAGGAAGAGAUAGCUAACCAGUGAGAAGCAUUGGCUAAAUGGUUACUUAAGAAGAUUCAUUUUUCAAAGCCUGUGGUACUCAUGCACUGGAACUAACAGUUUCCAGGUCCAAUCUCCUGCUGGCGGGAGGACGCUGAGAAGUGCAGCUGACAGAUGGGUGUGCUUGCAGCCAAUCUCCCUGCGGUGCCCUGGCAAUGUACGGUGCAGCGCAGUGGAAAAGCACCGUUCAUGGAACAGACUGGAAACGAGAGCACUGACAGUGAGCUGUACUUGGACCAGCUCAGCCAAGCUGUAUUUCUGCACUGCUUAUAAAACCAGAAUUCAAUUUAUACGUGGAGUUCCAGAGUAUCAUCAGGUAGAAAAUAACAACAUGGUCCUAAAUCCUCUUCCCUCCUCUUCACGCAGUCAUAGGGGAGGAUGCUGCAUUACCCCUCGAUGCUAUGGGUGAAUUUCCUUAAGUUUUGUAAGCUGCCAUUUGCAUCCUUUCUUUCCCCUUUUCUAUCACCACAGCUUAUGACAUGUUAACGUUGCUGACAUUGUUCCCAGGUCCAUGGGAUGCCAGUGGGCAUGUCCAUCUUGCCUGGUGCUGCUGCAGUGAAGGACUGCAAACCCACAUGUGCAUUCACGUCUGUAAUGGUUCAGAGACUCCAGAAGAUCAUAUUAAAUUAAAUUAAGGAGAGUAAAAUGUGUAUCAGGGGCAAUAUGAGGUGAUGCUUCAUUUCCAGUGUCCCAACUUGUUAAAAUAAAAAGCAUUCAUUCCAGUUGAAUAUUUAUCACUAAAUUUGAAGCAAAAGUAAAAAUGCCCUUUGGUUUCUCUGCAAGAAAAGUAAAGCCUCAUUGAAAUCUCACCACGGAGGAAUAUUUUUAACAUACAGAAAGUUUCCUGUUUUUAAAGGCAGUAAUGCAAAUUUGAAGUAAGACAAUGUAAAUUAUAGAGUGACUUCAAUGAGCUAUUUUGUGACCUUGCGAUCUUUAGAGCUAUUGAAGGGAGUCAACCGUGCUUCUGGUGGGUGGCUGCACAUGGAACCGAAGGGAAAUAUGUUGUGGGGGUGAGGGUGCCUGGCUGCUGUGAUGCAUAAGUGACGAUUUAGGGUUAGUGAGGAUGUCUGUGUUGCCUUAGUGAUGGCUUCCUGGGAUUUUUUUGGUGGCGUUCACAAGAACUCGAACUGGGGCUUUGUUUUGCAAAUCCAAUGGUGGGGCGUGGGCAAAUCACCCAUAUUUCCCUCUGCUGACUGACUGCCUCUGGUUGCUUCAUCUGAAUCCUGCUCAGUUUAGCUCAUAAAAACCUCUGUUUAUUGAAGUCUCCAGAACUGAGUACUGUAGCUUUUCUGGAUGGGAAUGGGAUGAGGCAAUACACAAACCCAAGAAUCCUUGUGUUUAUUUUGUAUUUAAGAACUCGUCCAAGCCAGCAGCCAGCAUCUGCCACUGCUUCUGUCUGCAUGAGCAGCGGUUACCUUCAGCAUGGACUCGUUGGCUCCUUCAGGCAGUAUGCUGGUAAUGGAAAGAAGCCUCAAACUGUUGUGUCCUGAGACAGCAGCCAUCCCUGCUGCCUUCUCCAAUGGGUCUGAUGCCAUGAGUGUGGGUGGCAGGCAGGUCCCCAGGAGCAGCCUCAGUGCCUGUGGAUCAUUGCAGCACAGCUUGCCUGGCCUGAAAGGCAUCCAUCCAGCUCUUCAGCUAUUAUUAACAAAGGAACAUUUUUCAAAAAGACUUACAGUGUUUGUUUUAAGCUUUCAAUUGACUGCUGUUUAUAUGAUUAUGUAUGAAUGAAGGAAGAAAAAGCUUAAAAAAUGCCCCAGGUUCACCCACCAUAGCAUGGAAAUACACCUCAACUGUUUACAAGUGCUCCUUGUUUUGUGUUCGGAGGCCGGAUCUCUGACUUCCUUUUGGACUAUUCUCCACUGGAAAUGAGGACUCUCUGCCAAAAUAGUCCACCUUUUCCUGCAAGAUUUGGUAUUAAUAGUUCUGACAGAACAUCUUGUUCCUAUGCAGUACAGGAGUCUGUCUCGCAGUAGGUUCUGAAUAGGGGUCCGGUGCAGCAGCAGAGCUGUUUUAUUUUGAGAUGAAAUGUCUACUGCUUAAAUGGAAGAAGCCGGAGUUUAUGCUGCUCGUAACCCACAAUGUAUCUCCAGAACUGGGAGGAAAGCACCAGUUUUAAUGGUGCAGCAGAUUGCUGUGCUCAGUUUCAUUUAAAGAAAGGAGUAAUUUUUAUUAAAGCACAGUAUGGCUUGCAGUGUGUUAGAAACACAGCAUUCCAGUGCCCAGAGAGGGCUUCUCCCCUCCCCCUCCCCAUGACACCAGCACUGUGCCCCCACACACCCCAGCCUGCCCCGAGCUCGGUGCUCCUGUGUGCCUUGGCCGAAGCACCAUCGGGCUCAGAUGCUCUUGACCUAGCACACAUAAUAGGGCAAUCCCAGACUUAGCUGAGGGCUGCUUUGGAAAAGCUUGUGACAUCUCUUAAUUUAUUCUUUCUUGGUUUUCAUUGUUUGAUUUCAGUUGUUUUUCACUCGCAGUCACUGUGGCCAUGACAGGGGAUGAAUGAUCUUUGAUAAGGGUUAUUUGUUUCUUGUGGUAGGCAAAGAAAUGCCAUUUGUAUUCUUGUGAGACUUUUCCCAUCAGAGCUCAGUAAUUGUUGCUGCAGACUGCAGUGCAGUGAGUGCCAUGGCAUUGUGUGCACCGGGACGCUGAGCGGCUCCUGCGUGUUUUAAGGCUAUUUUCCUUAGCACUAUAUAUCUGUGCUUCCUCGGUGGUUGCACACAAUUGUUGCUAUAUAUUAUUUUAUUUUUAUAGCAACUAAACAAUAACGUCAUUUGUUCUCCUUGGCAAAGUUUUCUCUGCCUGUACAUGAGAUGUGCGUAUCAGAAAUAUAUUCUUUUUCCCCUUCUGCAUUCAGAGCACAGCUCAGUAUCGGGCUCGUUUAGGGAGUUCAGAGAACUGAGAAAAUCCUGUAAUCUCCUUUUUUUUUUUUUUUUCCCAUAACAACUUAAUUUCCCCUAAAUUAAUGGAAUGCCUCAAACACUCGAUUUGGGCAGGCUUCAAACAGCUGCUGCUACAUGCCAUAGAAAACAGGCCGUGAUUGUAAGCAUUUGUAGACGUUUGUGAUUUUUGUCCCCGUUUUCUUCUCAAGACAUACUCCUUGCCUCCGUGCCAUUACCAUGGUGGGGCUGUGCUGCUGCUCCACAAGCCUAACCGAGUUCCCACGUCAAACAGAAACUUACUUUGUACCCAUUGACUGAGCAAUGUCGGGAAGGAGAAACUUGGGAGAGUUAGAGCUGAGACCAUAAAAUUUGCUUUAACAACGACAAAGACCUAAUCCUCUUUUCCUAUCUCAAAGUUUUACUUAUAGAGAAGCUUUUGUAAAGAAAACAACCCAAUAAUUAC
ensembl:lncRNA